GAUGAAGAACGCAGCGAAAUGCGAUAAGUAAUGUGAAUUGCAGAAUUCAGUGAAUCAUCGAAUCUUUGAACGCACAUUGCGCCCGUCGGUAUUCUGGCGGGCAUGCCUGUUCGAGCGUCAUUACGCCCCUCAAGUCCCCUGUGGACUUGGUGUUGGGGAUCGGCGAGGCUGGUUUUCCAGCACAGCCGUCCCUUAAAUUAAUUGGCGGUCUCGCCGUGGCCCUCCUCUGCGCAGUAGUAAAACACUCGCAACAGGAGCCCGGCGCGGUCCACUGCCGUAAAACCCCCCAACUUUUUAUAGUUGACCUCGAAUCAGGUAGGACUACCCGCUGAACUUAAGCAUAUCAAUAAGCGGAGGA
rnacentral:misc_RNA from 1 species